UUACCAUAUUUAUCUUCAAAGCCAGGAGGUAUUUCCAUAUACAGAGUUUCAUCAAUAUCACCAUAUAAAUAAGCAGUUUUAAUAUCAAAAAAUUUAACAAAUAAAUCCAAUUUUGCUGCUAAAGCAAUUAAUAACCUGAAUGAUUCAAUAUUUACCACAGGUGAAUAUGAUUCAGAAUAAUCAACAUUUUUAAUUUGAUUAAACCCAGCUGCAACCAGUCGAGCUUUGUAAAUUUUGUUAUUAUCGUCAUUUUUAAUUGUAUACACCCAUUUACUUUUUAUUAUUUUAUCCUUCUUAGGCCUCUCAAUUAAUUCAAAAACCUUAUGUUUCUCCAUCGAAAGAAGUUCACUUUCCAUUGCGGUUUUCCAUUCCGAAUAUUUAUUACUAUUUAUCGCCUGGUCAUAAUUUUGAGGAACAGAUGAUCCUUUCAAGGCUAAGUUCGCGUUUGCGGAUAUUUUAUUUUUAAUUCUUUCAGAACGUCUUAAUGCAGGAGUAUUUUGAUUAUUUUCAUUUUGUGAAUAAGCACUUUCUUGAGAAGAUUUAUGAGAAA